rnacentral:rRNA from 1 species
GACCUGCCAAGGCAUCUUGGCGGGUCGAAAGCUCCGGCGGUGAGGGGAUGACCCCGCGGCCUAUCAGCUUGUUGGUGAGGAAAGGGCUCCCCAAGGCGACGACGGGUACCCGGCCUGAGGGGGCGCCGGCCCACACGGGGACUGAGACACGGCCCAGACCCCUAGGGGGGGCAGCAGGGGGAAAUUUUGCAAAAGGGGCAAAACGCCUGAUGCAGCGACGCCGCGUGGGGGAUGGCGGCCUUGGUGUUAAACACCUUUUUCAGCAGGGAAGAAGAGAAAGUGACGGUACCUGCAGAAGAAGCGCCGGCUAACUACGUGCCAGCAGCCGCGGUAAUACGUAGGGCACAAGCGUUCUCCGUGAAUUAUUGGGCAAAAAGAGCUCGUAGGCGGCUUGUCGCGGCUGUUGAAAAACCCCGGGUCAUCCCCGGGGGUCUGCAGUCCCUGGGGGGAGGCUAGUGUGCGGGGGGGGAGAUCGGUACUCCUGGUGUAGCGGAAGAAAUGCGCAGAUAUCAGGAGGAACACGGGUGACGAAGGGGGAUCGGUCGGCCGAUACUGACGCUGAGGAAAGAAAGCGU